GAUGUUGCCUGAAAAGUUUUGCAUGGAAUAAUGGAAUAGGACUUCGGUUCUAUUUCGUUGGUUUUCGGAUCCGAAGUAAUGAUCAAAAGAGACAGGCGGGGACGUUUGUAUGGCUGCGCUAGAGGUGAAAUUCUUGGACCGUAGCCAGACAAACUAAAGCGAAAGCAUUCGUCAAGCAUGUUUUCAUUGGCCAUGAGCGAAAGUCAGAGGCUCGAAGACGAUCAGAUACCGUCCUAGUUCUGACCAUAAACGAUGCCAACUGACGAUCCGUGAUGGUAGCAUUUAAACCUUCCUCACGGGCAGUCCCCGGGAAACCAUUAAGUCUAUGGGUUCCGGGGGAAGUAUGGUUGCAAAGCUGAAACUUAAAGGAAUUGACGGAAGGGCACCACCAGGAGUGGAGCCUNNGGCUUAAUUUGACUCAACACGGGAAAACUCACCCGGGCCGGACACUAUGAGGAUUGACAGAUUGAAAGC
rnacentral:rRNA from 1 species